rnacentral:rRNA from 1 species
GAUAGUACCUUACUACUUGGAUAACCGUGGUAAUUCUAGAGCUAAUACAUGCUAAAAACCCCGACUUCGGAAGGGGUGUAUUUAUUAGAUAAAAAACCAAUGCCCUUCGGGGCUCCUUGGUGAUUCAUAAUAACUUAACGAAUCGCAUGGCCUUGUGCCGGCGAUGGUUCAUUCAAAUUUCUGCCCUAUCAACUUUCGAUGGUAGGAUAGUGGCCUACCAUGGUUUCAACGGGUAACGGGGAAUUAGGGUUCUAUUCCGGAGAGGGAGCCUGAGAAACGGCUACCACAUCCAAGGAAGGCAGCAGGCGCGCAAAUUACCCAAUCCCGACACGGGGAGGUAGUGACAAUAAAUACUGAUACAGGGCUCUUUUGGGUCUUGUAAUUGGAAUGAGUACAAUUUAAAUCCCUUAACGAGGAACAAUUGGAGGGCAAGUCUGGUGCCAGCAGCCGCGGUAAUUCCAGCUCCAAUAGCGUAUAUUAAAGUUGUUGCAGUUAAAAAGCUCGUAGUUGAACCUUGGGCCUGGCUGGCCGGUCCGCCUCACCGCGUGCACUGGUCCGGCCGGGCCUUUCCUCCUGGGGAGCCGCAUGCCCUUCACUGGGUGUGCCGGGGAACCAGGACUUUUACUUUGAAAAAAUUAGAGUGUUCAAAGCAGGCCUAUGCUCGAAUACAUUAGCAUGGAAUAAUAGAAUAGGACGUGUGGUUCUAUUUUGUUGGUUUCUAGGACCGCCGUAAUGAUUAAUAGGGAUAGUCGGGGGCAUCAGUAUUCAAUUGUCAGAGGUGAAAUUCUUGGAUUUAUUGAAGACUAACUACUGCGAAAGCAUUUGCCAAGGAUGUUUUCAUUAAUCAGUGAACGAAAGUUAGGGGAUCGAAGACGAUCAGAUACCGUCGUAGUCUUAACCAUAAACUAUGCCGACUAGGGAUCGGGCGAUGUUAUCUUUUUGACUCGCUCGGCACCUUACGAGAAAUCAAAGUCUUUGGUU